rnacentral:lncRNA from 1 species
UCUUGUGUCUUGUCUAUAGGAAGGGAGUGUAUCCUGGUGUAUGACAGCAUAUAGUAGAGACCAUUGUCAGUUAGAGCCUGUGAACUGAGACAGGGUGACUGGCUAAGUCCACAACCCAUUAGAAACCCAGAAAUAAUCAAAUCAUGGAGAGAUUAGACCAGGGACAAUAAAUAUAGAUUAGGCAAGAAUGCGUUAACUCAGCAGGCCAGGGUUUCUUCAACCCUGAACAUUCAAAGAGGGAUCAUGGAAAGGAAGCUGAAUUUGCUGAGUUUUGCCACAUGGGCAUUGUAUGCCUAUGUGAUUAACCACCAAUAAAAACCUGGGACAUCAAAGGAUAAAUAAGCUGCUCUAAUUGCCAAGAAUUCACAUGUGGUUGUAUGCAGCAUUACUGGGAGAUUGAAGUGUAUCUGCAUGUGAUUCUACUGUGAUGGGACACUUGUAAGUUUGUGCCUGGAGUCUCCUGGACUUUGCCCUGAGAAUCUUUUUCCUUUGUUGAUAUGAAUCUGCAUCCUUUUGUGUUAAUAAACUAUAAACAUGAGUAUAAUUGCUUCUCUGAGUUCUGAGAGAUUUUAAAUAAAUAAUCAAAGCUGAAGACCAAUGGGGACCCCCACCAAAACAUCUUUACACAUUUCAAUUUUGUAUUGAAGUAAAUUUUAUUUUCUUUUUUAUACCUCCCAUAU